UACGGAGGGGGCUAGCGUUGUUCGGAAUUACUGGGCGUAAAGCGCACGUAGGCGGCUUUGUAAGUUAGAGGUGAAAGCCUGGAGCUCAACUCCAGAAUUGCCUUUAAGACUGCAUCGCUUGAAUCGCGGAGAGGUGAGUGGAAUUCCGAGUGUAGAGGUGAAAAUUCGUAGAUAUUCGGAAGAACACCAGUGGCGAAGGCGGCUCACUGGACCGGCAUUGACGCUGAGGUGCGAAAGCGUGGGGAGCAAACAGG
rnacentral:rRNA from 1 species